AGGAGGAUGGAGGGAGAGAAAGAGACGGCUGAGGAGAAGGAGGAAGAGGAGGAGCUUCGCCAUCACAUCACAGCGGCGUCCUCGGUGGACGACCUGGCUCUUCCCAUCAUGCAAUGGGAGGAUCUGAGCCAGCGGAUAGCCCAGUUGGAAAGACAGGAGCAAGAGCGGAGGGAGAGGUCAAAGGUCAGCCGUGAAGAAGCGUGUGGAAAGGGUUCUCUGAAGACUGCAUUUCCUGUGGCGCGGGAGGGGGGUCGGGGGGGGGGCGUGGGGCGACGUCUGGGAGGAAGACGACACGUCGAGUAGGAGGCGUCGAGUCGCCGUCGACAAUUCGCAGUUUCAUAACCACAGAAGGCUUCAGCUGUGCUUCAUCAACAGCAGCGACAGUGAGGACGAGGAGGGAGACGCCACAGAGAAGGUCUCUGCAUGUUCAUUGGCCGGAGGUGUCGUACUUUAUUUUUCUCUGUUCGCCGC
ensembl:lncRNA